GUCUAUGAUCAUACCAUCCUGGAUGUGCCUGAUGUUAUCUGAUCCCAGAAGCUAAGCAGGGUUGAAGCUGGUUAGGAUUUGAAUGGGGAAAAAAAAAAGCAGAAAAAAGUGGCAUGGCUCUGCCCAUUCCUGGCU
rnacentral:rRNA from 1 species